rnacentral:lncRNA from 1 species
UUUAUUUGACUUUUUAGUAAGAAAGUGGCAAGUUUUUAUUUAUCGUGAUUAUAGGAUUGUGCUAGGCACUGGGAUGUAGAGGCAAAGCCAUUGCACCCCAGCAAACAGGCAGCUACAGUGUUGUGCUGUGAACAGUGAUUAAGUAAAAGUCCUUCAACACAGAGAAUGCAGAGAACUUCCCUCUUCACUUACCUCUUCCUCCCACUCCUUUCCUAAUCUGGCUCAAUUAUCUAACCACAUCCUCCAGGCAGAAGAUUAAAAGAUAACACUCUUGUUCUCUGAACACUUCUUCCUUUAAGAGUAUCCUAUUAUUUCAUGGAUGCGUGAUCUCUUUUUUUCCUCCCUGAGUAUGUAAGUUGCCAACAUCUUAAAUAAAUCAGCUUUACUUUCGUUGAUUCCUGUCAUUGUCCUUAUUUCUUCAUUUUCCUUUUUUCCCUUUUAUUUUCUAAAGAUUUUAUUUAUUUAUGAGAGACACAGAGACAUAGGCAGAGGGAGAAGCAGGCUCCCUGAGAGCAGCCUCAUGCGGGACUCAAUUCCAGAAUCGCAAGAUCACAACCUAAGCCAUAGGUAGAUGCUCAACCACUAAGCCACACAGGCACCUGCUUUUUCCCCUUUGUUUUGAUUUGUAUCUUCCAUGAUAACACCUUUCUCUAAUGUGUGGAACUCUUUGAUUUUCCAUUCGUAUUUAACAAUUAAGCAAUAUUAGCUUUUAUUUAUUUAUUUUUAUUUUUAUUUAUUUAUUUAUUUUAAGCAAUAUUAGCUUUUUAAAGGGAAAUCUGAGACCUUUCCACUGAUGGGCUGGUUCAUGGGGCGGGCUGGGGGAGGGGGGGAGACGGGACAUGAUUGCCACUUAACUCUCAGUAUUUCUCUUUGAUUCAUUUCCCUUUACAGAAAUCUUCCAACAUUAUGCCUGGAGGAUAUGAUUUUGAACCAAAUUGGGGACGAAACAAUCAGGAGGAGACCUAUCUUCACAUGCAACAUUGAAUAUUUAUUUACAUUGUACUCUGGUAAGUUCAGCAUGCUUCAUAGCUUCAACAUCAUUUUUUAACUUCAGUUAUCUAAGUAAUCCUAAAAUGUGACAUGGAGUGUUGGAUUUAAACUAAACAAUCUUUUUUCUGUAGUUUUCUAGCUGCUAUCAUGUCUUUUAAAUGUCACCAAUGCUAACCUUUAUUGUGUACUGAUCAAACACUGCAGAUAAAUUGUUAUAUCAGUCUUAACUCUAUGAGAUUUUGGCUGAAAUGCAAGAAAUUAUAAAAAAUGUAUAAAAUGAAAAUGAUCUAUAAUGCUAUUAUUUUUAUCUUUACAAGUUUUGAAGGAGAAAUACCAAUAGCUUCAUAUUCAAUAUAUAUGAGGCAAUGAAUGAAAAGAAUGAAAAACACAUUUUCUUAAGAGACUGUUAAAUUGGCUUUGAAAACUGUACUGAACAUACAUUUUUUUUUUCUCCUGGCACUUUCCCUCUUAUCUUUCUGAAAACUGUGUUUUCUCUGAAUCUUAGAAACCAUAAGGUGUUAAGAUGCAGAGUUGUUGGUGAAUAUACUUUCUGCCAUGUGGAGAAAGUUGGUCUUCAGGGAGAAGGAAACAUGCAGUAGACAUACAUGGAGAGACUCUGAGACAGGAGACUCAGAUGAGUCCUGACUCUGUUAAAGCACUGGUAGUACUGUCCUAGGAUUCUGUUA